rnacentral:tRNA from 1 species
CAAAAUAGAACUUGAUAAAGUAAUUCAUUUACACUGAAUAUAAGCUGUGAAAAUCAGUUAUUUUGA